rnacentral:misc_RNA from 1 species
AACCUGGGAGAAUUUAAUAAUGUACCCGAAUAAUGAAAAUGGAGAAUUUUAUGAAAAACGGAAUUACAAUUAAUACAAUAUUUGGAAUUAAAUUUCAUUGAAAUCAUGGACAAUCACAUCUGAAACCGUAGUUAGUAGAGUGAACGAGCUGAUAAGGAGCCAACUUCUCUAAAGAAGGUGUGCGGACUGCUUUUGUGGCUGCGAGUUGAAACCGAGAGACCAAGGGGAACUGAUAGGAGGGUAGCAAAGAAACCUGACUAAGAAAAGUGGAAAAACGAGAACGAAAGAGAAGAGAAAAGAUGCCGAUGGAGGAUCCGCAAACACUUUACGCAGAGGAUUGUCUCACUGACGCCAGAACUUCUGAAAAUCUCUCUGACUUACAAGGGAAACUAUAUUUGAAUGAAGAAUUGAAUAUGAUAAAAAACAUUAGUAGAAUAUGUUUCAAUUUAAUAUCAUAACUAUAAAUUAAGUUUAGAACCAGAGUUUGUAACCCAAUUCAGUUAUAAUAUAUGAAAACUCGUUUCAGAAACUCUAA